GGAUCCGUAGCUCAGUUGGUUAGAGCGUCACAUUCACAUUGUGAAAGUCACAGGUUCGAAUCCUGUCGGGUCCA
rnacentral:tRNA from 1 species